AGAGUCCUGAUGAAGGGAUGAGUACAGCUGAUUGACCUAUUUGCGUCAUGCUAAGCAGAGAGCCGGGGGAGCUGGGAACCGGUAUAGGGGGCAGCUGGAAGAUGGUCCUGGGAGGGUUUUCUUUCGAGUGUUGCUUUUAAACAUGAGGGAGGAACGUAGCUGGCGUUAACAGAGAAGUCAACGUGACUUCAUGAGCCAAUCAUUGUGAAGUGAUUGGAAAACAUGGGUGGUACCGCGUGAGCACUAGGCUCUCGUCCCAAUG
rnacentral:ncRNA from 1 species